rnacentral:rRNA from 1 species
AUGGGAACGCGAAGAACCUUACCUAGACUUGACAUCUCCUGAAUAGUGUAGAGAUACAUGAAGCCCUUCGGGGCAGGAAGACAGGUGGUGCAUGGUUGUCGUCAGCUCGUGUCGUGAGAUGUUGGGUUAAGUCCCGCAACGAGCGCAACCCUUAUUACUAGUUGCUACCAUUAAGUUGAGCACUCUAGUGAGACUGCCCGGGGUUAACCGGGAGGAAGGCGGGGAUGACGUCAAAUCAUCAUGCCCCUUAUGUCUAGGGCAACACACGUGCUACAAUGGUGAGUACAGAUAGAUGCGAUACCGCAAGGUGGAGCCAAACUCUAAAACUCAUCCCAGUUCGGAUUGUGGGCUGAAACUCGCCUACAUGAAGCUGGAGUUGCUAGUAAUCGCGAAUCAGAAUGUCGCGGUGAAUACGUUCCCGGGUCUUGUACACACCG